UACGUAGGGGGCAAGCGUUGUCCGGAUUUAUUGGGCGUAAAGAGCGUGUAGGCGGUUUGGUAGGUCCGUUGUGAAAACUCGAGGCUCAACCUCGAGACGCCGAUGGAAACCAUCAGACUAGAGUCCGGAAGAGGAGAGUGGAAUUCCUGGUGUAGCGGUGAAAUGCGCAGAUAUCAGGAAGAACCCCCGUGGCUAAGGCGGCUCUCUAGUACGGUACUGACGCUGAGACGCGAAAGCGUGGGGAGCGAACAGG
rnacentral:rRNA from 1 species